ensembl:lincRNA
NNNNNNNNNNNNNAUGGAUUUUCAGGUGUUUGCAAUCUUUAGAUAAGCUAUCUAGCUGAUCUCCGGCUAGCUGAAGCAGUCUCAGCUUGCUACUUCUCCACCAUCUUGACUCCUCCAAGGAGACCUUUAGAAACAACUUGUCAAGUCCUCACCAUGACUACCAUUGGAAUUGCAGUUGGAAUGGCAUUGAAUGCGUAGAUUUAAUUUUUGGAGAGCUAUCGUCUUUAUAAUCUCCUCAUACAUGAAUGUGAAGUGCUUCCUCCAUCCUGCAAGCUUCUGGGAACUCAGUGCCCAUUGUGUACAGGAUAUGUACCCAUUGAAGACCUUCAUGCCCUCCAAUAUAAGGCUAACUGUGUUCUCACUACAGAAGUUUAGAAUCAGAGAGGAGGAUCUGGUAGAAGACUUCAUGGGGGGAGAAGAAAAGGCAAGAAGCGGACAAGGACUACAGCCUGUCUUCAUCUCAACUUCACAAAGCAUGGUUCAGCAGAGGGAUCAUCCUCUUGAGACUCUCCAGACCACAGGUUGCUCCUUUCAGUUGCAUGCUUAGCCCUCUCAGGUGUUCAUCUGCAGAAUGAGUCCAGUACUUGAAGAAGUAAGAGGACAACAGGCAUCAGGGGACAACAGUGUGGUCUUCUAACUGAAGAUGGCAACAGAAAAGAUCAUGGACUUGGCUGGUUUGGGCUGGGCUUAUUUGCUGUUUCAGAAUUUAAAAAAUACUUUUUUUUUUCUUGACAGUAAAAGUAACAGAUGAUCAUUGUUGAAAAAGGUAUAAAUAAAAAAAUCAAGAACACCUGUAAUCUUACAACCCAGAAAACAACUCAACAUUUGAGUGUUUCCUUUUGCCCUUUUAAAAAAGAAUCUCUGUAACACAGUUUUUCACAUUUUUAUUUUAAUUUCAGUUAGUAAACCUGCAGUGUUCUGUUCAUUUCGGAUGUACAAUUUAAAAACAAAAUUGACAUCAUAUUGCAUGUUUUCCAUUUUUCUUUAUUUGAAAAUAACGUAUUUCCAUGUCAUUACCAUUCUUUGAAAACACAGUAUUGGUACAUGGUAUUUCAUAGGGAUCUAACAAAAUUUAGGUAGAUAAUUGAAUGCUGCUGGACAUUUUGCAUAUUACCAAUUUUGCCUAUAAAAUUGUAAUAAACAUUGUAUAUUAAUCACUGUGUACAUUUCUAAUUAUUUCUUCCCAGUAAAUUUCUGGAAUUGGAACUACUGGGUUUGAUGAGAGCAAUAUUAGGGCAUCUGAAAGGUACUGUUGAAUUGUCCUCAGUAUAGUUGUAAAAAUUCAUUCCCGUCAUUGGUGUAUGUACGUGCACGUUUCUCCACACAUUUCAUCAAAAUAUGGCCUUUCCUCUCUUUUUAUAAAUCUUUGCUCAUUUAAUAGGUAAAUGUAAGAGAUUUAUUGGUUGAUUGAUUUAUAUAUUUAAGAGGGAGAGCAUGUGCAUGUGUUGGGGGAGGAGCAAGGGGAGAAGCAGUCUUCUUGCUCAGCAGGGAGCCGAAUGCAGGGCUCGGGACCCUGGCAUCAUGACCUGGGCCAAAGGCAGACCCUUAACUGACUGAGCCACCCGGAUGCCCCUGUUCUAUGGGUUUUGACCUAAGGCAAAGCCAAGAGUUGAAUAUUAACCUACUGUGCCAUGCAGGCACCCCUCACUGUUCUUUAAGUUUUUAAAUUCCAGUUAACUUACAUUGUUCUAUCAGUUUCAGAUGUGCAGUAUAGUAUGUACAUAUAUAUAUAUAUGUGCUGUCACAACAGCGGCUGUGAUACCAAAAUCUCUCUUCUUUCUGGAUAGCACCACCGGUAACUUGUCCUCUGGAAUAGAAACUGGGAUAGGAACAUGGGUAGGGAUACGCAUAAUCACAGCCAGCUUGAAGGCCGUGACAUUCCAGCACUGGGAAAGAUAGCAAUUCUUAGUGCAAUUCAACAUAUCAUUCAGCUCGCUAGCAUUUGUUACGAGGAAAAGGAACGGUGGCGAGACGCAAAUGGGAGUGGGCUGAUAAGUAAUAUUAUUGGGACAAGACACAUUAACUGUUGUCUCAAAGGUACUAGAGUCAUUUUAAGAACAGUUGAGGAAUUUGCCACCAUUUAACAUGGACACUGCUGAGAUAUCAGUACAUGCUCCUAGCAAGUUACAGACCUGCCGUGCAUCAAAGGAAGAGGAGGGAUUGCCUUGCUUAGGAUUUUGAAAGGAAUAAUUGUACCCUGAAAGGUAUUAUUUUUAUAACUAGGAAAGCGUGGAGUGAAUGUAAAGCUAUGCAUUUCAUUGAUGUAAACUGAGCGCAAGGUACUCUGACAUCCAGACCACUCCGGUGGCCAUACCCUGUUAUUGGUGCACCUGAGGAACUUAAAGGGUUGAUAUGGCCCCGAGGCAUUAAUAGGUUUCACAGGGGCCAAACCCUGGAUCACAGGUGGUCCCAUUGAGGUAUGUUUAGCAAGCCUUCAUCUGGGAACCAUGGAGCCGCCUUUUCCACUGUAUUCAAAAAGGCCCGAGCAGUUUUUGCUUUUAGUGGAGUUUCAUUGGCUUUCAGCAGGUCUUUUAAAGACCCUUCCAACCGCACUUUAGAUACUUCAGAUCCCAUUAUGAACACACAGACAACAGACG